UACGUAGGUGGCAAGCGUUAUCCGGAUUUACUGGGUGUAAAGGGAGCGCAGACGGCAGUGCAAGUCUGAUGUGAAAUCCCGGGGCUCAACCCCGGAACUGCAUUGGAAACUGCGCAGCUCGAGUAUCGGAGAGGUAAGCGGAAUUCCUAGUGUAGCGGUGAAAUGCGUAGAUAUUGGGAGGAACACCGGCGGCGAAGGCGGCUUACUGGACGAAGACUGACGUUGAGGCUCGAAAGCGUGGGGAGCAAACAGGAUUAGAUACCCUGGUA
rnacentral:rRNA from 1 species